CGACCGCUGGCGGCGUGCUUAACACAUGCACGUCGAACGAAAAGGCCCUGCUUUUGUGGGGUGCUCGAGUGGCGAACGGGUGAGUAACACGUGAGUAACCUGCCCUUGACUUUGGGAUAACUUCAGGAAACUGGGGCUAAUACCGGAUAGGAGCUCCUGCUGCAUGGUGGGGGUUGGAAAGUUUCGGCGGUUGGGGAUGGACUCGCGGCUUAUCAGCUUGUUGGUGGGGUAGUGGCUUACCAAGGCUUUGACGGGUAGCCGGCCUGAGAGGGUGACCGGCCACAUUGGGACUGAGAUACGGCCCAGACUCCUACGGGAGGCAGCAGUGGGGAAUAUUGCACAAUGGGCGGAAGCCUGAUGCAGCAACGCCGCGUGCGGGAUGACGGCCUUCGGGUUGUAAACCGCUUUCGCCUGUGACGAAGCGUGAGUGACGGUAAUGGGUAAAGAAGCACCGGCUAACUACGUG
rnacentral:rRNA from 1 species